CCACCUCCCCUGCAAACGUCCAGUGAUGCAGAGGUAAUGGACGUUGGCUCUGGUGGUGAUG
ncrna:Tupaia chinensis (Chinese tree shrew) microRNA tch-mir-1306 precursor